CCUACGGGUGGCUGCAGUAGGGAAUUUUCCGCAAUGGGCGAAAGCCUGACGCAGCAACGCCGCGUGAUCGAGAUGCCCUUCGGGGUGUAAAGAUCUUUCAGUGGGGACGAAACUAGACGGUACCCACCUAGGCAGCACCGGCUAACUCCGUGCCAGCAGCCGCGGUAUUACGGGGGGUGCAAGCCGUGUCAGGAAUCAUUGGGCGUAAAGAGUUCGUAGGCGGCACGUAAAGUCUGGUGUGAAAGGCAGAGGUUCAACUUCUGUGCGGCACUGGAUACUUGCAAGCUAGAAUGCGGUAGAGGUGAAGGGAAUUCCAGGUGUAGCGGGGAAAUGCGUAGAUAUAAGGAGGAACAUCAGUGGCGUAAGCGCUUGACUGGUCCGUAAUUGACGCUGAGGAACGAAAGCCAGGGGAGCAAAUGGGAUUAGAUACCCCAGUAGUC
rnacentral:rRNA from 1 species